rnacentral:tRNA from 1 species
GCGGUUGUGGUGUACUGGCAGCAUUCGAGCCUGUGGCGCUCGAGGACCGAGUUCAAUUCUCGGCUACCGCC